rnacentral:tRNA from 1 species
GCAAGCGUAACUCAGUUGGAUAGAGUGACUCGCUACGAACGAGGAAGACAUGGGUUCAAGUACUAUCGUUUGCA